GACGAACGUUGGCGGCGUGCCUAAUACAUGCAAGUAGAACGCUGAAGAGAGGAGCUUGCUCUUCUUGGAUGAGUUGCGAACGGGUGAGUAACGCGUAGGUAACCUGCCUGGUAGCGGGGGAUAACUAUUGGAAACGAUAGCUAAUACCGCAUAAAAUGGAUUAUCGCAUGAUAAUCCAUUGAAAGGUGCAAAUGCAUCACUACCAGAUGGACCUGCGUUGUAUUAGCUAGUUGGUGGGGUAACGGCUCACCAAGGCGACGAUACAUAGCCGACCUGAGAGGGUGAUCGGCCACACUGGGACUGAGACACGGCCCAGACUCCUACGGGAGGCAGCAGUAGGGAAUCUUCGGCAAUGGACGGAAGUCUGACCGAGCAACGCCGCGUGAGUGAAGAAGGUUUUCGGAUCGUAAAGCUCUGUUGUAAGAGAAGAACGAGUGUGAGAGUGGAAAGUUCACACUGUGACGGUAUCUUACCAGAAAGGGACGGCUAACUACGUG
rnacentral:rRNA from 1 species